GUAAUUGGAGGACAUAACAAGACUUUAUUAUUUUGUGAAAUUUUUCAACAAUUUGUAUUGUCUUGUAGAAAAUGAGGGUUAAUGAAGUUAUCAUAUUUGGUUCCUUACCCCUAAGUGGCAAAGA